UUACACAUGCAGUCGAACGAUGAACCAGGAGCUUGCUCCUGGGGAUUAGUGGCGAACGGGUGAGUAACACGUGAGCAAUCUGCCCUUGACUCUGGGAUAAGCGCUGGAAACGGCGUCUAAUACCGGAUACGACGACCGGAGGCAUCUCCUGGUCGUGGAAAGAACUUCGGUCAAGGAUGAGCUCACGGCCUAUCAGCUAGUUGGUGAGGUAACGGCUCACCAAGGCGACGACGGGUAGCCGGCCUGAGAGGGUGACCGGCCACACUGGGACUGAGACACGGCCCAGACUCCUACGGGAGGCAGCAGUGGGGAAUAUUGCACAAUGGGCGCAAGCCUGAUGCAGCAACGCCGCGUGAGGGACGACGGCCUUCGGGUUGUAAACCUCUUUUAGCAGGGAAGAAGCGAAAGUGACGGUACCUGCAGAAAAAGCACCGGCUAACUACGUGCCAGCAGCCGCGGUAAUACGUAGGGUGCAAGCGUUGUCCGGAAUUAUUGGGCGUAAAGAGCUCGUAGGCGGUCUGUCGCGUCUGCUGUGAAAACCCGAGGCUCAACCUCGGGCUUGCAGUGGGUACGGGCAGACUAGAGUGCGGUAGGGGAGAUUGGAAUUCCUGGUGUAGCGGUGGAAUGCGCAGAUAUCAGGAGGAACACCGAUGGCGAAGGCAGAUCUCUGGGCCGUAACUG
rnacentral:rRNA from 1 species